GCCCACAUAGCUCAGGGGUAGAGCACUUCCUUGGUAAGGAAGAGGUCACCGGUUCAAUUCCGGUUGUGGGCUCCA
rnacentral:tRNA from 1 species